AGAGUUUGAUCCUGGCUCAGGAUUAACGCUGGCGGCAUGCCUAAGACAUGCAAGUCGAACGGAACACCCCACUGAAACUUGAAUGAAGUUGGAGAGCUUGCUCGAAGACGGAAUGACGGUGGAAGUGGAUUCUGUGUUCAGUGGCGAACGGGUGAGUAACACGUGGGUUACCUGCCUCUAAGUUGGGGACAACAGUUGGAAACGACUGCUAAUACCGAAUGUGAUAGUAAUAUUAAAGGAGCCUUUAAAGCUUCGCUUAGAGAUGGGCCUGCGGCGUAUUAGCUAGUUGGUGGGGUAACGGCCUACCAAGGCGACGAUGCGUAGCCGGACUGAGAGGUUGAUCGGCCACACUGGGACUGAGACACGGCCCAGACUCCUACGGGAGACAGCAGUUAGGAAUAUUCGUCAAUGGGGGAAACCCUGAACGAGCAAUGCCGCGUGAGUGAUGAAGGUCUUAUAGAUUGUAAAACUCUGUUGUAUGGAAAAAACGACUAGGUUAGGAAAUGAACUUAGUGUGAUGGUACCAUACCAGAAAGCCCCGGCUAACUACGUGCCAGCAGCCGCGGUAAUACGUAGGGGGCGAGCGUUAUCCGGAUUUAUUGGGCGUAAAGCGUGCGUAGACGGUUUAUUAAGUCCAGAAUUAAAGCCCGAGGCUUAACCUCGGUUCGUUCUGGAUACUGGUAGACUAGAGUAUGGUAGAGGCAAAUGGAAUUCCUAGUGUAGCGGUGGAAUGCGUAGAUAUUAGGAGGAACACCAGUGGCGAAGGCGGUUUGCUGGGCCAUUACUGACGUUGAGGUACGAAAGCGUGGGUAGCAAAUAGGAUUAGAUACCCUAGUAGUCCACGCUGUAAACGAUGAGCACUAAGUGUCGGGUUACCGGUGCUGAAGUUAACACAUUAAGUGCUCCGCCUGAGUAGUACGGUCGCAAGACUGAAACUCAAAGGAAUUGACGGGCACCCGCACAAGCGGUGGAGCAUGCCGUUUAAUUCGAAAAUACGCGAAAAACCUUACCUAGACUUGACAUCCCUGGCAAUGCUAUAGAAAUAUAGCGGAGGUUAUCCGGGUGACAGGUGGUGCAUGGUUGUCGUCAGCUCGUGUCGUGAGAUGUUCAGUUAAGUCUGCUAACGAGCGCAACCCUUGUCAAUAGUUGCUAACAUUUAGUUGAGAACUCUAUUGAGACUGCCGGUAUUAAACCGGAGGAAGGUGGGGAUGACGUCAAAUCAUCAUGCCCCUUACGUCUA
rnacentral:rRNA from 1 species